GUGUUCUGGAUUGCUUGAAGCCCUCCUUUUAACCCACCAUAUAGGUACAGCAUGUGCAGCAGCACUACAAGCUUCAUCACACUGCCCUACCAGUGUGCUCCAUUCCUAGUAGUGAGCCCUCUGUUAGAGGAGGAAAGCUGGCUGAGUUUGCAUGUCCGGGCAGACUUUGGCUUCC
rnacentral:sRNA from 1 species